rnacentral:misc_RNA from 1 species
UAUCUUUGUUGGAUCUUUACUGUGGUU